rnacentral:rRNA from 1 species
GGAGGAAGAAGGAUCUAUGGUUCGUAAACUUCUUUUGCAGGGGAAUAAAGUGCAGGACGUGUCCUGUUUUGUAUGUACCCUGAAGAAUAAGGAUCGGCUAACUCCNGUGCCAGCAGCCGCGGUAAU